rnacentral:lncRNA from 1 species
GUAAUUGCACUUGAAUGUGUUUGGUAUGAAUUUUUCAAUUCGCUUAAACAUCGUAGAAAUGAAAAAAAUUAUUCAGCUUUAUUCUCAAAUUGAAAUAUUUAUAUAACUCUCAAAAUCACUAACCCCUACCUUGACACUUUCCUACUGCCCCACUACUACUCUUCCCGAUCCAAAAGAAAUCUUUAAUUUUUUUAAAAAAAAAUAUUUCAAACUUUUACUAGCUAUCGCCCCCACCCCACC